GCCGCCAUAGUUUAAUGGUAAAACAGGGCAAUGGUAAUGCUCAGCUCUGAGUUCAAUUCUCAGUGGCGGCACCA
rnacentral:tRNA from 1 species